GGGGGGGGGGGGGGGGGGGGGGGGCGGGGGGGGGGGGGGGGGGGGAGCGCGGGGGGCGGGGGGGAGUAGUGGCGAACGGGGGAGUAACAGGGGAGUGACGGGCCCUUGACGCUGGGAUGGGCGUGGGACGCUGGGUCUAAUGCUGGAUACGCCUUCGCGUCGCAUGGUGGGUGUGGGACCGUUUUAUUGGUUUUGGAUGGACUCGCGGCCUAUCAGCUUGUUGGUGAGGUAAGGGCUCACCAAGGCGACGACGGGUAGCCGGCCUGAGAGGGUGACCGGCCACACUGGGACUGAGACACGGCCCAGACUCCUACGGGAGGCAGCAGUGGGGAAUAUUGCACAAUGGGCGCGAGCCUGAUGCAGCGACGCCGCGUGAGGGAUGACGGCCUUCGGGUUGUAAACCUCUUUCAGUAGGGAAGAAGCGAGAGUGACGGUACCUGCAGAAGAAGCGCCGGCUAACUACGUG
rnacentral:rRNA from 1 species